UAAUAAGUGUUUUAUGGCACUUUUUAAAUCCAUAUCCACCUUGUGUGCAAUGUCAGUCGAUCUUCUUCAUGGAGAUCGACCAAACAUCAACCUUUAUCUUUUCAACUCUUUGUCUGAAAAAUAUUAUGAAUAAACAAUUCAAAAUA
rnacentral:misc_RNA from 1 species